rnacentral:rRNA from 1 species
UUAACCGGAUUAGAUACCCUGGUAGUCCACGCCGUAAACGAUGUCGACUUGGGGGUUGUGCCCUUGAGGCGUGGCUUCCGGAGCUAACGCGUUAAGUCGACCGCCUGGGGAGUACGGCCGCAAGGUUAAAACUCAAAUGAAUUGACGGGGGCCCGCACAAGCGGUGGAGCAUGUGGUUUAAUUCGAUGCAACGCGAAGAACCUUACCUGGUCUUGACAUCCACAGAACUUUCCAGAGAUGGAUUGGUGCCUUCGGGAACUGUGAGACAGGUGCUGCAUGGCUGUCGUCAGCUCGUGUUGUGAAAUGUUGGGUUAAGUCCCGCAACGAGCGCAACCCUUAUCCUUUGUUGCCAGCGGUCCGGCCGGGAACUCAAAGGAGACUGCCAGUGAUAAACUGGAGGAAGGUGGGGAUGACGUCAAGUCAUCAUGGCCCUUACGACCAGGGCUACACACGUGCUACAAUGGCGCAUACAAAGAGAAGCAAACUCGCGAGAGCAAGCGGACCUCAUAAAGUGCGUCGUAGUCCGGAUUGGAGUCUGCAACUCGACUCCAUGAAGUCGGAAUCGCUAGUAAUCGUGAAUCAGAAUGUCACGGUGAAUACGUUCCCGGGCCUUGUACACACCGCCCGUCACACCAUGGGAGUGGGUUGCAAAAGAAGUAGGUAGCUUAACCUUCGGGAGGGCGCUUACCACUUUGUGAUUCAUGACUGGGGUGAAGUCGUAACAAGGUAACCA